GUGGGGCCUUGGGCGGUGGUCCCUCCUUCCUGGUCCUCCCCACUCACUCUGCCAGCCCUCGUUCCCACCCCGAGUCUCUGCCCUCCGGCUCUCUGGGUAGGAGCUUCUCGGCUGUCUUUUCUGGUCACUGCUGCAGACGUUCAGAGACAGACUCGGAAAUGAAGAAAGCCAGCAAGAGACCGGCUGAGGCCUUGCCAGCAGACCAGCCGGCCAGGGAGGCAGAGAGGAUGAGCGGCCAGGAGGAAAGGGCUGAAAACCGGAUGGAAACAGGAGCAGAAACUGCUGGAGAAGCCAAGAUGUGAGGCCACUGGAGCGAGGGUUUCACUGGGAGAGAUGUUCCUGAUUUCCCUGUGUGGCUUUUAAUACCAAUCCAGCCCUUAACCAACAAUCUUGUAACAGCCAAACUGUUCUUUAUUAAACGUUUUUGUGAGGAAAAAAAAAAAAAGAAUGGAAUGCAAAAUGGUUAGAGUGCAUCAUAGAUAAUUAGGGUCAGUGUUGAGUAUUGCUUGUUGGAGCUCACGUUUUACUUAUGUCUGUGUGUGUGUGCCCACGUUUGUGGGUGCAUUUCUCCCUC
rnacentral:lncRNA from 1 species